CAUAGCUGGAUUUGUUCAGUAAUAUCUCACAACAGCUGUAAGAGGUAGAGUGAGUGUUACCCCAUUAGGCAGAUAAGGAAAUUGAGGCACAGGAAGAUUAAGGACUUUGCCACGGUUGCACAUUCCGGAAGUGUUGAGGCAAGGACGCCAACGCAGACCACCUGACUCUGGAAUCUGGGCUUUUAAUCACUUCGCUUUGUGAUGCUUCUGGGUAGCAAGGCCAGCGAGGAGGCAGGAGUCCCAACAGGGAGCUUUCUGGGAGUGGAGAGGAGCCUGAGGGGGAGGCCGCGCCCUAUGGGAGUCGCUGCUGGAAACAAGGACAGAGCAGAAGCUUGAAGGUCACUGUCACACCCCUGUGGAAAGACACCUGCCGGGAGGGCCACGGGACUUCAGUGUCAGGUCGUCUCCUCCACAUCAGUGCCGUGACACCCUCAGUCCUGGGCUGGCUCAUGGUACGGAUGACAAAGGUGGCCCCGGCACAGCUCACAGCCUAACUGGCGAGAACCAGCCCUCAGCCCACCCGGCAGGCUGCAGCCACUGAGUCCGAGGCUGUGGGUCCCUGGGUCACUUCUCCUACGUACUCGCUACCAGUUGUUACAGUGAUGACAAAAGACACUACGAUGAGCCUGGCACGAGAAGCACCUCAAUUUACUUCAUCCUUAAAACAAGCCCACGACUCACAGGUUUGUAUUUGCUCAUGUCACCAUCGGUUCGUGGCAGAGCUGGGAUUUGAACUUGGGUAUUUUUGAGUUUUUUAGAGAUAGGAACAGUGGUUAGGAACCCGGUGUCUGGUGUCACACAGACUGGUUCUCCACUUACUGUUUGUUGAGCCAGGAGAAAUUACUCAAUACCUUGAGUCUCAGUUUCCCUCCCUAGAAAAAGGAGAUUCAUAAUACAGUUGCCCCUUGAAUAGCAUGGCUUUGAACCACGCAGGACAACGUACACACAGAUUCUUUACAGUACAACCUUGUCCAUGUAUGC